CUCAGUAACACGUGGAUAAUCUGCCCUUAGGUGGAGGAUAAUCUCGGGAAACUGAGGAUAAUACUCCAUAGAUCUAGGAUGCUGGAAUGCAUCUAGAUUGAAAGCUCCGGCGCCUAAGGAUGAGUCUGCGGACUAUCAGGUUGUAGUCAGGGUAAAGACCUGACUAGCCUACGACGGAUACGGGUUGUGAGAGCAAUAACCCGGAGACGAUAUCUGAGACACGAUAUCGGGCCCUACGGGGCGCAGCAGGCGCGAAAACUUCACACUGUGCGAAAGCGCGAUGAGGGAAUCCCAAGUGUUUGCUCGUAAGAGUAAACUGUUUCUUUGUUUAAAACGCAGAGAGAGUAAGGGCUGGGUAAGACGGGUGCCAGCCGCCGCGGUAAUACCUGCAGCUCAAGUGGUGAUCAUUAUUAUUGGGCCUAAAACGUCCGUAGCCGGUUUAGUAAAUGCCUGGGUAAGUCGUGUAGCUUAACUAUACGACUUCCGGGUAGACUACUAAACUUGAGACCGGGAGAGGCUAGAGGUACUCCUGGGGUAGAGGUGAAAUUCUGUAAUCCUAGGGGGACCACCAGUGGCGAAGGCGUCUAGCUAGAACGGGUCUGACGGUGAGGGACGAAGCCCUGGGGCACAAACCGGAUUAGAUACCCGGGUAGUCCAGGGUGUAAACGCUGCUUGCUUGAUGUUAGUUGGGCUCCGAGCCCAAUUAGUGUCGGAGAGAAGUUGUUAAGCAAGCUGCCUGGGAAGUACGAUCGCAAGAUUGAAACUAAAG
rnacentral:rRNA from 1 species